AAAAUUUAUUACAAAUUAAAAAAAAAAAAAAAAAGUCGAAAGAAAAAGUUUAAAAUGUUUCUGUUUUAAAUAAGCAUUCUGUAGCUUUGCAUGCCAAUAAUUGACGUAUACCUAUUCUCGCAUGCUUGGCAGAUUUAUAUAGACUUCCUUGUUGAAUUUGCUCUGUGUAGUACCACACUACAUGUGUAUGUGAUGUGUUUUAUAAGUGUAAACCACACCUAUCCGUACAAUGGAAGUACCACACCUUACUCGUGCGAUAAGCCCAUCCAUUUUGCAUAAAUAACACUUUCUAACAGAAUAAUAAAAAAAAAAUUUAAUCGGGGAAAUUGUAAGUAAAUUUAAACACUCUCCUUUUAACAUUUUAAACUUCUUAACUAAAUCGUCCGAUUGAAUUAUAAUACGUCACAAAUGGCGCGGUGACGUUAUACACGCGCAACAGUUAUAGUUGUAUAAAAUAUAACUAUGUCAUUUAUGAGUCCAUAUGCAAAAGUGUGUCUAUGUUUGUGUGUGUAGUGUUCGACAGCAAUUUUUUUUCUGACAUUCUAAAAGUCGGAUUGGUAAAUGUAGAAAAGGAAUUAAUCGUGUUAAAGAAUUCCACUAGAAGACUAGUAAGAGAAAGACAUUAGCAGAAUAGCGGGCUAACGUGGACCAGUACCUUGUCAGGCCUGCAGGGACACAUGGUCUGCUUCAGGGUACAGCUCCACCACCUAUCAUUACGGGCACCAACAUCCGAAAACCAUAUAAUUUGUAUCCAUUAUUCGGCCAGCUUCACCUGGGAAUUUUACCCAGGCCUCAUUGGACGUUGUUUUGAGUGUUCCUUUUGGAUAUUUGUGUGCAGUUUCUCAUUCCCCGAUGCAAUACUUUCUUGAUGUAUUUUUUCUGUUUUUAUUUUUUUUUUAUAUAUACAAUUUUUCGAAACACCGAAUCAGACCAAAUUACUUGUUGUUGGAGCCGAUAUGUCGUUCGGUAGAAUAUUCACGCUUUAUCGAACACGUUCUCCACUCACGCAAGAAAAUUACACGGAGGCAGAUGUUUGGUAUAACUAUUCGAAAAAUAUUUGUUGUUGUCCCUUCUAGUUUUCACUCAACAGGCGGAUAACUUACCAAAGUUCUAGUAAAUGGUUUUAGCCUCUUCUUACGAAACUGUUUCCGUUUAUACUUCUUCUAGCAAUUUAUAAAAGAAACGUUAACCGGAUAAAAGAAUAGAGACGAUUUCAAAAUGUUUCGGAUAAGAUUAACUAAUAUGACAUUGCAAUGACAGAUUUAGUUGGCAGAUAGCAUCAGCCGGAGCUUUCACGCGUAGAUGCUAUCUGGCUGUUGAUGUAUCACGUGACAUAUGAAUGGUCUCAAUGUGUGCGACGCUUGUUGCUAAAGUGACAUUAGAAAGAUUUUAAGUAAUUAUUUCCUGCAACAGACAGACGAAUUUUCCCUUUCAUAAUCCAGAACUAAUUUAUGAUUAGUUUUAAUUGACUAAGAAUGUCGAGCGAUAAGACGAAGAACCGCUAGCAGAAAUCUUUAUCGAAACAUACUUUUCUAUAAAAAAAAAAAAAAUUGUUAAAGACGUGUUACCUGGAUUUUUAAUUACAUUUAUAUCGAGUGAUAAUAAUAGUAAUUUGAGAAAACGGUAGAUGACAGAAGAGAAUUCAUCCAUUAUUAAAAUUUUAUAAAAUACUUUCCUCGUCGUUUACUUAAAAAAAAAAUAAAAAUAAAAAUAAAAAACAGAGCAACUAG
rnacentral:lncRNA from 1 species